AUUUAACUUGGGAGUCAGAACAUGGGUGAUAAGGUCCGUGUUCGAAAGGGAAACAGCCCAGACCACCAGCUAAGGUCCCAAAAUAUAUGUUAAGUGGAAAAGGAUGUGGCGUUGCCCAGACAACUAGGAUGUUGGCUUAGAAGCAGCCAUCAUUUAAAGAGUGCGUAAUAGCUCACUAGUCGAGUGACACUGCGCCGAAAAUGUACCGGGGCUAAACAUAUUACCGAAGCUGUGGAUUGUCCUUUGGACAAUGGUAGGAGAGCGUUCUAAGGGCGUUGAAGCAUGAUCGUAAGGACAUGUGGAGCGCUUAGAAGUGAGAAUGCCGGUGUGAGUAGCGAAAGACGGGUGAGAAUCCCGUCCACCGAUUGACUAAGGUUUCCAGAGGAAGGCUCGUCCGCUCUGGGUUAGUCGGGUCCUAAGCUGAGGCCGACAGGCGUAGGCGAUGGAUAACAGGUUGAUAUUCCUGUACCACCUAUA
rnacentral:rRNA from 1 species